CUUGUUUCGCCAAGAAAUUCAUCAGUAUCCCACCUGCGAGGGUGAUUGGCCACAGUGGGAUUGAAACACGGCCCAGACUCCUCCGGGAGGCAGCUGUAGCGAAUUUUUUGCAAUGGACGAAAGUCUGACGGAGCAACGCCGCGUGAGUGAUGAAGGUUUUCGGAUCGUAAAGCUCUGUUGUUAGGGAAGAACAAGUACCGUUUGAAUAGGGCGGUACCUUGACGGUACCUAACCAGAAAGCCACGGCUAACUACGUGCCAGCAGCCGCGGUAAUACGUAGGUGGCAAGCGUUGUCCGGAAUUAUUGGGCGUAAAGGGCUCGCAGGCGGUUUCUUAAGUCUGAUGUGAAAGCCCCCGGCUCAACCGGGGAGGGUCAUUGGAAACUGGGGAACUUGAGUGCAGAAGAGGAGAGUGGAAUUCCACGUGUAGCGGUGAAAUGCGUAGAGAUGUGGAGGAACACCAGUGGCGAAGGCGACUCUCUGGUCUGUAACUGACGCUGAGGAGCGAAAGCGUGGGGAGCGAACAGGAUUAGAUACCCUGGUAGUCCACGCCGUAAACGAUGAGUGCUAAGUGUUAGGGGGUUUCCGCCCCUUAGUGCUGCAGCUAACGCAUUAAGCACUCCUUCCUGGGAGCCCGCCCCC
rnacentral:rRNA from 1 species